AACCUACUCCCUCCGUUCGGAAUUACAUGUCGCAGAAAUGGAUGUAUCUAGAAUCUAGAUACAUCCAUUUCCGAGACAAGUAAUUCCGAACGGAGGGAGUAUGAU
rnacentral:pre_miRNA from 1 species